rnacentral:rRNA from 1 species
UGGGGAAUUUUGGACAAUGGGCGCAAGCCUGAUCCAGCCAUGCCGCGUGCGGGAAGAAGGCCUUCGGGUUGUAAACCGCUUUUGUCAGGGAAGAAAUCCUUUGAGCUAAUACCUCGGGGGGAUGACGGUACCUGAAGAAUAAGCACCGGCUAACUACGUGCCAGCAGCUGCGGUAAUACGUAGGGUGCAAGCGUUAAUCGGAAUUACUGGGCGUAAGCGUGCGCAGGCGGUUUAGUAAGACAGGCGUGAAAUCCCCGGGCUCAACCUGGGAACUGCGCUUGUGACUGCUAAGCUAGAGUACGGCAGAGGGGGGUGGAAUUCCACGUGUAGCAGUGAAAUGCUUAGAUAUGCGGAGGACCACCGAUGGCGAAGGCAAACCCCAAAGCCUGCACUGACGCGCAUGCACGAAAGCGUGGG